UUCGCGUAGGUACAUCUAAAAUGGCGGCUCAUUCGAGAGUGUUUCUUCAAUCGUUCUCUAAAUUCAUUACUCCGUUUUUGCCAUUCACGCGUACCUUACAGUCAAUACAAUACAAACCACUUUUCGAAGUGCUGUCGUCCAGACGAAAAAUACUAGCAAGAAAUGCCACAACCUCAUCAAAUCAGAAGGAAACUCUUCAAAGGUGUCCAAUAUCUCGAAGAAAUAUAAAAUUUACUUAUAAGGUUGGACUGGUUGGUCAGAUCUGGUGAUGUUUUAUUGCUUGCACAAUUCAUUUCACCUGAAGGAAAUAUUUUAAACAGACGGAUAACAGGAGUGUGUAGAAAACAGCAAAGGAAGUUGGAAAAAGCCAUUGAAAUAUCACGAAGAGCCGGUCUUAUCCCAAAAAAGCCUCCUGCCUUGAUGUAUGAAAUCAAUUCCUCCAGAAACAAGCAAUAGAUACAUUCUGUUGACAAAAAUGUUGCAAUGACACAUACAGCAUGAAAGGUAUUGACCAUCAAAUAUUAAUGAGGAUUUGGGGGAGUCGGAAGAGGCUAUUACUGGAAGAGGCUUGAUGCUUUGGGGUUCAAGGUUAUGCUUGUUGGUUCAACCCUCUGAUAAAGUAUACAACUCAAACCAAAUAGUGGAUUACAAGAUUUGUAAUCGACUUAAUACAAAAUAGAGGGUGAUACAGCAAUAGCAUAACAGUACCUGUAUUUAUCAUUUAUUAUUCAAUUUAUGAUAUUGUUCAUUUAAA